rnacentral:rRNA from 1 species
CCUACGGGGGGCUGCAGUGGGGAAUUUUGGGCAAUGGGGGGAACCCUGACCCAGCGACGCCGCGUGAGUGAAGAAAUUCCUCGGAAUGUAAAGCUCUGUUGUAUGGGAAGAUAAUGACGGUACCAUACGAGGAAGCCCCGGCAAACUACGUGCCAGCAGCCGCGGUAAUACGUAGGGGGCAAGCGUUGUCCGGAAUUACUGGGCGUAAAGCGCACGCAGGCGGAAUUGUAAGUCCGUUGUAAAAUUCAGAGGCUCAACCUCUGUCUGUCGGCGGAUACUGCAAAUCUAGAGUAUGUGAGAGGGAAGUGGAAUUCCUGGUGUAGCGGUGAAAUGCGUAGAUAUCAGGAGGAACUCCGGUGGCGAAGGCGACUUCCUGGCACAAGACUGACGCUCAUGUGCGAAAGCUAGGGUAGCGAACGGGCUUAGAUACCCGAGUAGUC